GAUACUCUGGAGGCCAGACUUAGCCAGCGCUCAUUUCAAGAUUACCCUGAAAACUCCUCGUUGUCAGUCGCAGAUCUUCAUGGGUCCCCAAGUUCUGCAGCAACGGUGCUUACGGCGUACCCUGUGAUCCUAGGGGAAAUCAAGGCCAACGGGAACUUCAACGCUCAAAGUCAAACCAUUCACCACUAAUGAGACGUAUGCGUUCAAGGCUCAUCGCUGACGCUCAGUGCGACACUGCGACGGAGAGACGCUGGUGGGUCUUUAUUGAGCAACGACUACCGCGCCCGCGACGUAACGGCCUCGUUGACGCUGGACCAGUUGGACAUUUAGAGC